AUUGAACGCUAGCGGCAUGCCUUACACAUGCAAGUCGAACGGUAACGGGCCUUCGGGUGCCGACGAGUGGCGAACGGGUGAGUAAUAUAUCGGACCGUACCUUUCAGUGGGGGAUAACGUAGCGAAAGUUACGCUAAUACCGCAUAUUCUCUGCGCAGGAAAGCAGGGGACCUUCGGGCCCUUCGCUUUUUGAGCGGCCGAUAUCAGAUUAGCUAGUUGGUGAGGUAAAGGCUCACCAAGGCGACGAUCUGUAGCGGGUCUGAGAGGAUGAUCCGCCACACUGGAACUGAGACACGGUCCAGACUCCUACGGGAGGCAGCAGUGGGGAAUUUUGGACAAUGGGGGCAACCCUGAUCCAGCCAUGCCGCGUGAGUGAAGAAGGCCUUCGGGUUGUAAAGCUCUUUCGGCCGGGAAGAAAUCGUAUGGGCUAAUACCCUGUGCGGAUGACGGUACCGGCAUAAGAAGCACCGGCUAACUACGUGCCAGCAGCCGCGGUAAAAC
rnacentral:rRNA from 1 species